AUUCAUGCAGCAGAAGAGAAGGACUGGAA
rnacentral:piRNA from 1 species